AGCGAGUGUAGCACAAUGGUAGUGCAACAGCCUUCCAAGCUGAUGACGAGGGUUCGAUUCCCUUCACUCGCUUC
rnacentral:tRNA from 1 species